GGUUCAUACUGUCGUAAGUUCGCCGUCUCUUCUACUACGCUCCAGUUGUCUUACACGAUCGAAAUAAAUUCACUUAUAAUUUUUUUUUAAAUAUUUUUUACCAUGGCUGGUCUUGAUCCUACUGGCAACUACUAGUGCCCUUUUUUAUUAGUGCAAAUUUUCUUCAUAUUUGAUUGUGAACGGUACUUUUCAAUUAAUACAAAAUGGCCAUUGGAAAACUCGACCCUACUGGACAGUACUAACCGGUUAAAGUGAAAACGACGAAAACUAACAGUGAUAGUGAAAAACAUUCUUAUUCCUUCAAUUUAAUUUUUCGCAAUGGCAGGCGGACUCGACCCCACUGGCCAAUAUUAGCAGACAUCAACAAUCCAGCGUUCCAGUGAUUUUUAAGUUUUCAAAUCAGCUACAAUGGAAAGAAAAGGAUUAGAUCCAACUGGCCAAUACUAAGAGCUAGAGAAUUUUACCAAAACCCAGUCUCAUUAACAAACUAGAAAUUUUGUUUUAAAAUGCACGGAAAAAUCUUAGAUCCGACGGGUGAAUAUUAGACCGCAUAAAACAGUAAACUUGAAACUCUAACAAAAUGGAAAGAAAAGGACUUGACCCUACCGGCCAAUAUUAAGCAGCAUUGCAGCCCUUGUGUUUAUUUUAACUUAAUAAUGGAGCAGAAAGGUCUGGACCCCACUGGCCAAUAUUAGGCAAAUUAUAAAAAUUGCACUGCCUUCCACGCACUACAAACAAUGGAAGGAAAAAAGCUGGACCCCACAGGCAAUUACUAAGAGCAUCCAAAUCGUUUCCUAGUCGAAAUCAUUUACAAGAUGCCUUCGUCCAAACGCCUGCAAAUUGUAAGCAGAAAGCAAACCCACCCAAAAAUAGACAGAAUCGACCAUACUUUCUACAGACUAAAAGAUUGGGGUCAUUCCGGACUCGUGUGGAAGUAGUUUGGGUUAGUUUUUAUAUAUACGACAAUUAUUCAAGCCAAGUUGUUGUAAAUUUACCAAACAACUCAGCUUUCUUCUGUCUUAAAACAAACUGUUCCUUCUGGAACUCCAGCAAUUCAGCCCAUCGACAACAAAAACUUCCGUCCAGUGAUUAUUCAAAUUAAUCUGCAAGAACAGUCAGAAUAAGUGAUGAUACAAGUGUUUUUUACUCUGAACUGUCCAGUGAUUUAUCACGAGCUUGCAAGCUCUCGAAGCUCCAAGUUCCACUGCAUUUUCCUGAUGUGGUGCCACCGCGACAAGGGAGACGGAGGUCCCCCAGAAACAUCCAGCAGCAGACGAAAUAGAUACUGAUAGAAUGGAUCUAAAUACAAUGUAACUACACUGCCACACGAGUUACCCAACCUAUCCGGAUGUUUAAAGACUGAUGUUUUGUUGAUUUUAGUAUUUUUAAGUUUGUUUUUAUUAAAUUAUAUAACUAGUUUAAGUCUAUUACACUUAAAGAUUGUAUGUAAUAUUAAAACUGCCUCUGCAAACAUCAAAAGGCAUUAACAUUGUAUUAUUCUAAAGUUCUGCCGAAAAAAUGGCGACAGGUUUUGAAAUACGCAGCUUAUUCGAGUUCAAAAUAUUCAUUAUAUAAUUGACUAUUUAGUAGGUAACUUUGUAUAUAAUAGUUUGUUGAAUGUACUGUUUUUUUUUCGUUGACAUGUUUUUCUGUUAACAUGGACAGGUGCUCUAAAAAUUGAAAAUUAUAAAAUUUGGCAAGUAUAAUACUGUAAAACAUGUCAGGCAAAACGAUUACGAGUAAAUUUGCGAAAAGAAAACAUUUAUAUUUACUAAUACAGCAAACUAAAUGUUGAAAUUUA
rnacentral:lncRNA from 1 species